CAAAACGCCCUGCAGUGGCCCAAGGUGAAUCAGCAGCAAAGGGCGCCAGAGAACAAGUCCCUGAGGGCGGAGAUAGAGCAGGAAGCCCAGCCCGACGCCUGCGGAGCAGCGCUACGCGGGACGGCUGCGGGGCAGGCGGGCUCCUAAGGGUUGGGGCCUGCUCGAGAGCACGGACUUGGCGCCCAGCACAGCAGGGAUGAGGAGCCAGGCUUCCUGACCGAAACUGGAGUGACACUGCCGCCCGGGGAGUGGGAAUCCGACAGAGGAAAUGCAGGCAGCGGGCACAGCCCAGGACGCCGUGUGCGCAUGGCAGGGGAAAUGUGGGUAGAGUACUAUGUUUGUAGUGACUGGCACUCUGCACAUAGCAUACACGUAGUAGCUCAUUCCCACCGUCAUGACUGCUGCUGACUGAGCUCUCAGAUGAGGAGACUAAGGCAUGGAGAGGCCAAAUAUACUAGUCAACUAAGGCUGCUUUAACAAAACACCAGAGACUGGAGAGCUCAAACAACAGAAGUGCAUUUUCUCAUAGUGCUGGAGGCUGGAGGCCCACCCAAGAUCAGGAUGCUGCCAUGGCCGGGUUCUGAAAAAAGGAAGAAAAGGGUGCAGUUACUCCCGAGGAAGCAACGAAGGAUGAUGUUGGACAGAGAGG